rnacentral:rRNA from 1 species
CUUGGUCAUUUAGAGGAAGUAAAAGUCGUAACAAGGUUUCCGUAGGUGAACCUGCGGAAGGAUCAUUAGUGAAUUAAACAUGCUUGGUGUCUUCGCUUCGGCAAGGCCCUUGCUUAAAUCACAUCCUAACACCUGUGAACUGUAAGACGUAUGAUGAGGUCUUUGGCCAAGUCAUCGUCUGCCCUUUUUUAACAAACAAUUAAUGUAACAAACGUAGUCUUAUUAUAACCUAAUAAAACUUUCAACAACGGAUCUCUUGGCUCUCGCAUCGAUGAAGAACGCAGCGAAAUGCGAUAAGUAAUGUGAAUUGCAGAAUUCAGUGAAUCAUCGAAUCUUUGAACGCACCUUGCGCUCUUGGUAUUCCGAAGAGCAUGCCUGUUUGAGUGUCAUGAAAAUAUCAACCUUGACUUGGGUUUUGUGCUCUAGUCUUGGCUUGGAAUUGGGUGCUUGCCGCUUUUACGAGCGGCUCACCUUAAAUGUAUUAGCUGGAUCUGUCUUUGAGACUUGGUUUGACUUGGCGUAAUAAGUAUUUCGCUAAGGACAUUCUUCGGAGUGGCCUCGUUUCUAGGACGCUUGUCCGCUUCCCAAUACAAGUUCCACCUCGUGGACAUGACUUUUUUAUUAUCUGGCCUCAAAUCAGGUAGGACUACCCGCUGAACUUAAGCAUAUCAAUAAGCGGAGGA